GCUUGGAUGGCUCAGCUGGUUAGAGCGCAGGUCUCAUACUGAUGUAUGACCGUCGUUGGCGGGCAAUCCUGAGGUCGUGAGUUCGAUCCUCACUCCGAGCA
rnacentral:tRNA from 1 species